AAGGAACGCCAACCGCGAAGGCAGCUCUCUGGGUCCCCACUGACGCUGGGGUGCGAAAGCAUGGGGAGCAAACAGGAUCAGAUACCCUGGUAGUCCAUGCCGUAAGCGAUGAGUGUUCGUCCUUGGUCUGCCUGCCUACUAGGUAGGAUUAGGAUCAGGGGCCCAGCUAACGCGUGAAACACUCCGCCUGGGGAGUACGGUCGCA
rnacentral:rRNA from 1 species